CUUAAUCUCUUCAUCUGUCAGUUGGCAAGAAUGAUAAGUGUACCUACUUUGUAAGGUCAUGGAGAGUAUUAAAGGAGUUAAUGUUUGAAAAAUGCUUGGAACACCUAACACAUCACAACCACUGUAUCUGUGUGUUAUAAAUAAAAUUUAAAAAUCUUCUGACACUGUUCAUAAGCUCCAGAGGGUGAGACUAGUGCCUGGAUGUAUGUAGAAAGCACUCUGUGACAUACAAUGAAUAAAAGAAUGAACAACACUGUUGAAUGCUUUACCACUGUCACAUACAUCAUCCUACAGGCAUUCCCAAGCAGAAUCACACCCAACAAUACCUGUUCUGUCCCACAGCAUCUUCUUUGAUUCCAUCCAGGAAUCACUGGGGUUUCUUGGACCCUGGUAACUGUACCCACUAAAGGUCCUCUUCUCUCUGUCAUAAACCCUGGUCCUUGUCAUAAUUGCUGCAGCUCCCAGGGUCUGCACUCAGAUCCUUUUCUUCACAUGAGGGAGAAGUGUCAUCCCCAGAUCUGGGCAUCCACAAAGCAUGAGCUUUGUGGAAAUGUUUCCCUGGCCUGGGGCACAUAGAAGAAUGCAGUGACAGGGCGGGAUUUGUGUAAAUCCUCCAGUCCAUUUACAGACAGCAUGUUCUCCAUUUUAAGAACACAAGUGACACUUUCUUGCUGACCAGGAGACCGGAGAUCAGGCAUGUGAUGAGCACCAGGAGUCCCACAAAGCAGGUGAGGAUUUUGCCCCAGGAGGGGAGGUCUGGGGAGACAAGUGCUAGGUUGAGCCACCUCUGGUUACUCCCCUAGGCUCCUACUGUGCCGUCACUGUGCUCCACAGUUCUUGACACUGGGUUCACCAGCUUUCAUCAUCAUCCAAGACCCUGGGUGCAUGGUUCUCUUUGAUGAGGCACAGCAUCAAGAUAUUCCUUCCCUCCCACCCUGGGCUGGGGCUUCCUUGAGGCUUCCCAGAACUCUCUGUCAAGGAAUCAUUUCUGUGAGGAGAGUACCCUGGAAGUCAAUGAAAUCGAGAAUACAUGUGUGUUUUACAUUUUUAAAUAAAAAUUUUCAAACACACAGAAAAGCAGGACAAUAUCAGAAACAUCCAUCACCUAGAUUUAACAAC
rnacentral:lncRNA from 1 species